GGAGGAAAGCAGGGGAUCGCAAGACCUUGCGCUUUUGGAGCGGCCGAUGCCUGAUUAGCUUGUUGGUGAGGUAAAAGCUCACCAAGGCUUCGAUCAGUAGCUGGUCUGAGAGGACGACCAGCCACACUGGGACUGAGACACGGCCCAGACUCCUACGGGAGGCAGCAGUGGGGAAUUUUGGACAAUGGGGGCAACCCUGAUCCAGCCAUGCCGCGUGAGUGAAGAAGGCCUUCGGGUUGUAAAGCUCUUUCAGCCGGAACGAAACGGUUACGAUUAAUACCCGUGACUACUGACGGUACCGGAAGAAGAAGCACCGGCUAACUACGUGCCAGCAGCCGCGGUAAUACGUAGGGUGCGAGCGUUAAUCGGAAUUACUGGGCGUAAAGCGUGCGCAGGUGGUUUUGUAAGUCAGAUGUGAAAUCCCCGGGCUUAACCCUGGGAACUGCGUUUGAAACUACAACGCUAGA
rnacentral:rRNA from 1 species